rnacentral:rRNA from 1 species
AUUGCACGCUGGCGGCAGGCCUAACACAUGCAAGUCGAACGAGUGGCGGACGGGUGAGUAAUUUCUGGGAAACUGCCUGAUGGAGGGGGAUAACUACUGGAAACGGUAGCUAAUACCGCAUACCCUCUGAUGUGCCAAGAUGGGAUUAGCUUGUUGGUGGGGUAACGGCUCACCAAGGCGACGAUCCCUCGCUGGUCUGAGAGGAUGACCAGCCACACUGGAACGUAGACACGGUCCAGACUCCGACGGUAGGCAGCAGUGGGGAAGAUUGCACAAUUGGCGCAAGCCUGAGGCAGCCAUGCCGGGUGUAUGAAGAAGGCCUUCGGGUUGUAAAGUACUUUCAGCGGGGAGGCGUUACUCGCAGAAGAAGCACCGGCUAACUCCGUGCCAGCAGCCGCGGUAAUAC